GGUGAGAUGGCCGAGUGGUUAUGGCGCUGCGUUCAGGUUUACCUGAAUCUACUACCUAGUAGUAUUCUAUCUAUAUGGUAUAAAAAAAUCUCGCAGUGGAGCAAUCCGCGUGGGUUCGAGUCCCACUCUCAUCA